AGAGGGCGUAUGAAACGGGUUGAUUGAUGGUGAUACUCUCGCAUUGAACAAGAAGAAGCUGCGCAGAAGUUGGGGAAGUUUGCUUAGGAUUGGCGAAGGACUCCUGAUGGACAAUCAAUGGGGUGGGGUUUAGGGUACAUUCUCGUCUCUGAUUCGAUGGGUGGUCUAUUUGUUGGCCUUGACAUCAAUGAAACAGUAGAAUUUUAACAGCCAGGCAAAUCACAACGGCUUAAGGGUAACAUGUGGAUUGUGUUUUUGUUACUUUCUUUCCAGCCAUUGGAUAUGACGUGAGGGGUGAGCCAGAGAACGUGUGAUUGAUUGUAAGCAGCAGCGUUAAGAAGGCGCGUUGCAGAGUUUGCGUGUGUAAAGGAACCGGGGUUGGAUUCUGAAGUCAUCUCAUAACUCAAGAGUUUAUAAUUAAUGGGUGAAGGGCAAAAGGAGAGAAAGUGAGUGCAGCGAGCUGAGGAAGGUGUUGUAUAGCUUCAUUAACACCACAGUCCAGCAGGAGCAGAAUGUUCUCGGCAGAAGCAUGGAUCACUGCACUGUCAACAGAAUCAUCUCUCUGUAUAAACUUGAGAAGCAUCACACUGAGCAAGUACAUGCAUAUGCAUGCAUGCAGUAUAAACAAUAAGCAAAACUGAUUUUCAGGUCACAAGGCUGACCUGAUUAGAUACAAAUAUGAUCCGUUUCCUUGACUUUGAAUGCGGAUACCUGUUCUUGCUGGGGUCAGACAGCAAAUUCUAGAAGUAUGAGUGGUGAUCAGAAAGGUUUGAACCUUUUAAUAGAAACCCCGGUAAAAUCACACUUUUUUUUUUCAACAUAAUCCCUGUGAAGACACUUUGCCACUUAAUAUGCCUCUUUCUUUUACACGAGUUUCAUGCAGUGCAUCUGGAAAGUAUUCACAGCACAUCACUUUUUCCACAU